ACGUACACUCCUGCGGGAGGCAGCAGUGGGGAAUAUUGGACAAUGGGCGCAAGCCUGAUCCAGCCAUGCCGCGUGAGUGAUGAAGGCCCUAGGGUUGUAAAGCUCUUUCACCGGUGAAGAUAAUGACGGUAACCGGAGAAGAAGCCCCGGCUAACUUCGUGCCAGCAGCCGCGGUAAUACGAAGGGGGCUAGCGUUGUUCGGAUUUACUGGGCGUAAAGCGCACGUAGGCGGACUAUUAAGUCAGGGGUGAAAUCCCGGGGCUCAACCCCGGAACUGCCUUUGAUACUGGUAGUCUUGAGUUCGAGAGAGGUGAGUGGAAUUCCGAGUGUAGAGGUGAAAUUCGUAAAUAUUCGGAGGAACACCAGUGGCGAAGGCGGCUCACUGGCUCGAUACUGACGCUGAGGUGCGAAAGCGUGGGGAGCAAACAGGAUUAGAUACCCUAGUAGUCC
rnacentral:rRNA from 1 species